UAAAGGAAUUGACGGAAGGGCACCACCAGGAGUGGAGCCUGCGGCUUAAUUUGACUCAACACGGGAAAACUUACCCGGCCCGGACACUGGGAGGAUUGACAGAUUGAGAGCUCUUUCUUGAUUCGGUGGAUGGUGGUGCAUGGCCGUUCUUAGUUGGUGGAGCGAUUUGUCUGGUUAAUUCCGAUAACGAACGAGACUCUAGCCUAUUAAAUAGGUGCGGGGUUCCCAGCACCUUACAACCUUCUUAGAGGGACAAGCGGCUCCUAGCCGCACGAAACAGAGCAAUAACAGGUCUGUGAUGCCCUUAGAUGUCCGGGGCCGCACGCGCGCUACACUGAAGGAAGCAGCGUGUCUUUAUCCCUGUCUGAAAAGACUGGGUAACCCGUGGAACUUCUUUCGUGAUUGGGAUAGGGGCUUGCAAUUGUUCCCCUUGAACGAGGAAUUCCCAGUAAGCGCGAGUCAUAAGCUCGCGUUGAUUACGUCCCUGCCCUUUGUACACACCGCCCGUCGCUACUACCGAUUGAA
rnacentral:rRNA from 1 species